AUAUAGCACUCGUACACGGCGGUUCUGAGCGCGCCGCCCGCACCCGCCGGACGACUGCUCACUACGUUUUUAGCC
rnacentral:sRNA from 1 species